AAGAUCGCUUAUCAGUUGCUCAAUUCAACAUCAACACGUAAAGUGUAGAUGAAAUACAAGUCGCAAUGAUGAAAGUGGGGCAACAAUGGCCAACGUGAGGCGGACGACGGCACAGCCGUCAGUCCUCGAUGAUCGUUCACCUCUCACCACGACCUGGUAUCUGGUAGAGGUGUUGUUGCCGUCUGAGCGAC